rnacentral:rRNA from 1 species
GGCCAAGUCCCCUGGAACGGGGCGCCGCAGAGGGUGAGAGUCCCGUACGGCCAGGGUGGACGCCCGCACGAGGCCCUUUCGACGAGUCGAGUUGUUUGGGAAUGCAGCUCAAAACGGGUGGUAAAUUUCAUCCAAAGCUAAAUACUGGCCAGAGACCGAUAGCGCACAAGUAGCGUGAGCGAAAGAUGAAAAGCACUUUGGAAAGAGAGUUAAAAAGCACGUGAAAUUGUUGAAAGGGAAGCGCUUGCGGCCAGACUCGCCCGCGGGUGCUCACCCCCGUCUUCGGGCGGGGGGCACUCACCCGCGGCCGGGCCAGCAUGGGCUCCGGCGGUCGGACAAAGGCCCGGGGAACGUACCUCCCCUCGGGGAGUUUUAUAGCCCCGGGUGCAAUGCGGUCAGCCGGGGCCGAGGAACGCGCAUUCGCUAGGAUGCUGGCAUAAUGGCCGCCAGCGGCCCGUCUUGAAACACGGACCAAGGAGUCGAUCGAUGCCGCGAGUGUUUGGGUGCAAAACCCGCACGCGCAAUGAAAGUGAACGCAGGUGGGAGCUUCGGCGCACCAUCGACCGAUCCUGAUGUUCACGGAUGGAUUCGAGUAUGAGCGGUGCCGAUCGGACCCGAAAGGUACGUUUUAUUCCUCAUCCCCCGGGAAUCCCUCGCUAACCCUUCUUUCAGAUGGUGAACUAUACGUGGCUAGGGCGAAGCCAGAGGAAACUCUGGUGGAGGCUCGUAGUGAUUCUAACGUGCAAAUUGAUCUCCAAAGCUGCGUAUAGGGGCGAAAGACUUAUCGAACCAUGGCAAUUGCUAGGUGGUUACAGAAGGAUCUUAGUCCCCCGGGGACGAUAUCGCCACUUGCAUGGAUGCUCAUCUUUGACAAACAUGCGGCGCCCGGAUCAUCGAAGGGCGUUCACAGACCNAACGGCGAGGGCUCUCCCCCGCGGGGAGAGUUUUGAAAUGGCCGGGUUCCGCCUCGCAAGAGGGAGGAAUUCAACGCUAGUANCUGGUUCCUGUCGAAGUUUCCCUCGUAUGUGGCUCCCCCCCGCGCCCCCCGACAGCGAGAAAACAGCGUGCUAACGAAUUUGCAGAGGAUAGCAGAGACGACUUCAGUUUUAUGAGGUAAAGCGAAUGAUUAGAGGUUCGGGGGCCGAAACUGGCCUUCACCUAUUCUCAAACUUUAAAUAUGUAAGAAGCCCUUGUUGCUUAAUUGAACGUGGGCCUUCGAAAUGUNCGUUUUCUAGUGGGCCAU